UCCUGCGGGACCCGACUGCUAUCGGAUUGAGAUUUAGCCAUGCGAGUCGAACGUCCCCCUGUUGCGGGGGGCGUGGCGUACGGCUCAGUAACACGUAGUCAACCUGCCCUGGAGACAAGGACAACCCCGGGAAACUGGGAUUAAUCCUUGAUAGGUCAUCUCAUCUGGAAGGAGAGAUGGCUUAAAGGGGUACGCGGGCUUCUUCCGCGAAUCUGCUCCAGGAUGGGACUGCGUCCGAUCAGGCUGUUGGCGGGGUAAUGGCCCACCAAACCUGUAACCGGUACGGGCCUUGAGAGAGGUGGCCCGGAGAUGGACACUGAGAGAAGGGUCCAGGUCCUACGGGGCGCAGCAGGCGCGAAACCUUCGCAAUGCGCGAAAGCGUGACGAGGUUAAUCCGAGUGACUCCCGCUGAGGGGGUCUUUUGUCAGCUGUAAAUAGGCAGGCGAAUAAGGGGAGGGCAAGCCUGGUGUCAGCCGCCGCGGUAAUACCAGCUCCUCGAGUGGUCGGGGCGAUUAUUGGGCCUAAAGCAUCCGUAGCCGGUUCCGUAGGUCCUCUGUUAAAUCCAACCGCUUAACGGUUGACCUGCAGAGGAUACCGCGGGACUAGGAGGCGGGAGAGGCGGACGGUACUCCGCGUGUAGGGGUAAAAUCCUUUGAUCCGCGGAAGACCACCAGUGGCGAAGGCGGUCCGCCAGAACGCGCUCGACGGUGAGGGAUGAAAGCUGGGGGAGCGAACCGGAUUAGAUACCCGGGUAGUCCCAGCCGUAAACGAUGCUAGCUAGAUGAUUCAUUCGCAAGUCGCGAAUGAAGUGUCGCAGGGAAGCCGUUAAGCUAGCCGCCUGGGGAGUACGGUCGCAAGACUGAAACUUAAAGGAAUUGGCGGGGGAGCA
rnacentral:rRNA from 1 species